rnacentral:pre_miRNA from 1 species
GGAAAUUUGGAAACUGCCGUUGGAUCAAAAAAUGGAUGUCCGAGAUUCGUCCACAUCAUCGCGAGUAAAAAUUUUACUCACGGUUUUACUCACGAGUCGUGAACAAAUCUCAGACGUCCAUUUUUCGAUCCAACAGUAGUUUCCAAGUUUCC